CACUGAUCUGUUCUGUAUUCAUGCCUUCUAUAUUCUGUUGUGCUGAAGCAAAGUAAGAAUUUCAUUGUCCUAUCUGGGACACAUGACAAUACACUCUCUUGAAUCUAAUAAGGGCGCAGGGUAGAGACGGGGAAUCUCUCAUGUCUGAUGUGGAUCUACAUCUCCGGGGCAUGAGGGUUUCAAUGUCCAUGGUAAAGGGUACGGUAUCAGGGGCAGUGUCGGGGAGAACACUUCAUGUGACAUGGAUCUUCAAGGACUGGACCUGUGUUGUUGGAAGUGUCUGCUGGGGUUAGACUG